rnacentral:rRNA from 1 species
AUUGAACGCUGGCGGCAGGCCUAACACAUGCAAGUCGAACGAGUGGCGGACGGGUGAGUAAUGUCUGGGAAACUGCCCGAUGGAGGGGGAUAACUACUGGAAACGGUAGCUAAUACCGCAUACCAUCGGAUGUGCCCCGAUGGGAUUAGCUUGUGGGUGAGGUAACGGCCCACCUAGGCAACGAUCCCUCGCUGGUUCGAGAGGUUGACCAGCCAAACUGGAACUGAGGCACGGUCCAGACGCCUACGGGAGGCAGCAGUGGGGAAUAUUGCACAAUGGGCGAAAGCCUGAUGCAGCCAUGCCGCGUGUAUGAAGAAGGCCUUCGGGUUGUAAAGUACUUUCAGCGGAGAGGCGUUACCCGAAGAAGAAGCACCGGCUAACUCCGUGCCAGCAGCCGCGGUAAUAC